rnacentral:lncRNA from 1 species
UUUCCUUUUUCCCCUUCCUUUAUACGAGCACCUUCCAUUUUCCUUGUUGAUUGGCCCACACUAAAGUUCCUAUAUUUGCAAAUCAAGGAUCUAGACAUAAUAGGCUUGAAAUGUGACCAUAAAUUGGUUAGCCCAGCCUUUGCGACUCACUCACAAAACUCAACCUCGCCUCUCUUGAAACCUGCACGCCACCGGAGUUACAUAUUCCGCCGGAGCAAACGGAGUCGCCAGAGAUCGAGGAAGCCGCCGGAGUUUGAAGUGAUCACCGUAAACACUUUCGCCGUAGUCGGAAACUCAACGGAGUUACGUACGGAGGUCACGACAGGAAACCUUGCAUCAUCGAGCACCGGAGAAAGCCGACAUCAUCGGAGAACGCAUCCGUCGCCGGAUUCGCGUCGGAGGUUCACAAUGUUUCGGAUAAACCGUUCGUUCUCUUGGAUUUCUCCAAUCCUUACUUGUGUGUUGUUUCAAGAAUUCUCACACGCAACCAAUGUGUUUAAGCUGCUAGGAUGCUUAGUUGUAUGGUGAUGAACUCAAGGCUAGGGAGUCUAGAAACAAUAAACAUUUGUCUGUAAUAAUUAAAUCUGAGUUGUUGGAACAG